rnacentral:rRNA from 1 species
UGGAGAAUAUCGAGCCAUCUGGUCACCUCCCACCCGUGUUUAUUUUACCUUGUUGCUUCGGCGAGCCUGCCUUUUGGCUGCCGGGGGACAUCUGUCCGGGUCCGCGCUCGCGAAGACACCUUAGAACUCUGUCUGAAGAUUGUAGUCUGAGAUUAAAUAUAAAUUAUAAACUUUCAAACAACCGGAUCCUCUUGGUUCCGGCAUCCGAUGAAGAACGCACCGAAAUGCGAUACGUAAUGGGGAAUUGCAGAAUUCAGGUGAAUCAUCGGAGUCUUUUGAACCGCAACAUUGCGCGCCCUCUUUGGUUAUUCCGAGAGGGCUAUGCCUUGUUCCGAGCCGCUCAUUGCCUGCCCCUCAAGCCACGGCUUGUGUGUUGUUGGGCCUCCGUCCUCUCCUUCCGGGGGACGGGGCCCGAAAGGGAAGCGGCGGGCACCGGCGUCCGGUCUUCAAGCGGUAUGGGGGCUUUGUCACCCCGCUUUGUAGACCUGGCCGCCCCUGCCCGUAUAACCCAAAUUCCAGGUGUGACCUCGAAUCAGGGAGGGGAUACCGCCUGAACUUAAGCAUACAGAGAGGGGGAGAAGAAAUGUUCCCCUGAGAAACCCCCUUUAUUUUUCCUUGUGGCCGCCCUCUUUGGGGUUAAUCUCCCCGAAAAGU